GAUGAACGCUAGCUACAGGCUUAACACAUGCAAGUCGAGGGGAAACGCCAUCGAAAGCUUGCUUUUGAUGGGCGUCGACCGGCGCACGGGUGAGUAACGCGUAUCCAACCUGCCCAUCACUUGGGAAUAACCUUGCGAAAGUAAGACUAAUACCCAAUGACAUCCCACGAAGACAUCUGAAUGGGAUUAAAGAUUUAUCGGUGAUGGAUGGGGAUGCGUCUGAUUAGCUUGUUGGCGGGGUAACGGCCCACCAAGGCAACGAUCAGUAGGGGUUCUGAGAGGAAGGUCCCCCACAUUGGAACUGAGACACGGUCCAAACUCCUACGGGAGGCAGCAGUGAGGAAUAUUAGUCAAUGGGCGAGAGCCUGAACCAGCCAAGUAGCGUGCAGGAUGACGGCCCUAUGGGUUGUAAACUGCUUUUAUAAGGGAAUAAAGUGGGUCUCGUGAGACUUUUUGCAUGUACCUUAUGAAUAAGGACCGGCUAAUUCCGUG
rnacentral:rRNA from 1 species